CAGUAAACGGCGGCCGUAACUAUAACGGUCCUAAGGUAGCGAAAUUCCUUGUCGGGUAAGUUCCGACCCGCACGAAAGGCGUAACGAUUUGGGCACUGUCUCAACAACAGACUCGGUGAAAUUGUAAUUCCGGUGAAGAUGCCGGAUACCUGCGACAGGCCGGAAAGACCCCAUGGAGCUUUACUGUAGCUUGACAUUGGGUCUUGGUACUACAUGUACAGGAUAGGUGGGAGGCUUUGAAACCAGGACGCCAGUUUUGGCGGAGCCAUCCUUGGGAUACCACCCUU
rnacentral:rRNA from 1 species